ensembl:lncRNA
CCAUUUUAUUCUGUUGCUCUGAACUCAUACAAAUUUGUUUAACAUGGGGAAAACAAAUACCUUUGAUGAUGGAUAUCCAUUUAUUUCUAUUGGGAGUACAUUACAACUAAAAGAAAAUACAUUAAAAUUAACUAAGUGUAACACGUCACACCCAAAUUCUAGGUUCGUCCGAGAAGAGAGAUGUGCGACAGCAGUGAACCACUCAGAUACAGGGGUUGAGACUUAUGGCAAUAUCACUCGUCAAGGAAUGUUCACAACCUCCAACCAAUGGGCGGCUCGCCAGUCCAAACUCCACCGUUAUGUGCACAGGAGAGAGUUGAGACAGUUCACAAUCCAGGAAAAGGUUCACACUUCACUUGAUUCGUAUCCAGAACAGGCAACAUGCAGUAGAUGAACAUCAAACAGGACAUCACAAGGAAACAAACAAGGAGAGGAGAAAAAAAAAAAAAAACCUAGCCUUGAAAACACAAGGCAAAAAAAAAAAAAAAAAUAUAUAUAAUCAAUCAAUUAGCACUUUCCAAUGUAUAUACUGAUUCAACACAAAUUUCAAAUAAACAAUAUACAUUCAUAUACUUCUGUGUACGG